GACGUAGGGUGCGAGCGUUGUCCGGAUUUAUUGGGCGUAAAGAGCUCGUAGGCGGCUCGUCGCGUCGACCGUGAAAACCCGCGGCUUAACUGCGGGCUUGCGGUUGAUACGGGCGGGCUAGAGUGCGGUAGGGGAGACUGGAAUUCCUGGUGUAGCGGUGAAAUGCGCAGAUAUCAGGAGGAACACCGGUGGCGAAGGCGGUUCUCUGGGCCGAUACUGACGCUGAGGAGCGAAAGCGUGGGGAGCGAACAGG
rnacentral:rRNA from 1 species